UACGUAGGCAGCAAGCGUUGUUCGGAGUUACUGGGCGUAAAGGGUGUGUAGGCGGUUCCUUAAGUUUGCUGUGAAAUCUUCCGGCUUAACCGGGAGGGUGCGGUGAAUACUGAGGGACUAGAGUACGGGAGAGGAAAGUGGAAUUCCUGGUGUAGCGGUGAAAUGCGUAGAUAUCAGGAGGAACACCGGUGGUGUAGACGGCUUUCUGGACCGUAACUGACGCUGAGACACGAAAGCGUGGGUAGCAAACAGG
rnacentral:rRNA from 1 species